GAUGAACGCUAGCGGCAGGCUUAAUACAUGCAAGUCGAGGGGCAGCAUGAUUGUAGCAAUACAAUUGAUGGCGACCGGCAAAUGGGUGCGGAACACGUACACAACCUUCCAAUAAGUGGGGAAUAGCCCAGAGAAAUUUGGAUUAAUACCCCGUAACAUAACGAUGUGGCAUCACAUUGUUAUUAUAGAUUUUUCGCUUAUUGAUGGGUGUGCGGCUGAUUAGAUAGUUGGCGGGGUAACGGGCCACCAAGUCUACGAUCAGUAGCUGAUGUGAGAGCAUGAUCAGCCACACGGGCACUGAGACACGGGCCCGACUCCUACGGGAGGCAGCAGUAAGGAAUAUUGGACAAUGGACGCAAGUCUGAUCCAGCCAUGCCGCGUGAAGGAUUAAGGUCCUCUGGAUUGUAAACUUCUUUUAUAAGGGACGAAAAAAGGCUUUUCUAAGUCGUCUGACGGUACCUUAUGAAUAAGCACCGGCUAACUCCGUGCCAGCCGCCGCAGUAAUAC
rnacentral:rRNA from 1 species